AACGGAAAGGCCCUGCUUGCAGGGUACUCGAGUGGCGAACGGGUGAGUAACACGUGGGUGAUCUGCCCUGCACUUCGGGAUAAGCCUGGGAAACUGGGUCUAAUACCGGAUAGGAGCCAUCUUUAGUGUGAUGGUUGGAAAGUUUUUUCGGUGUAGGAUGAGCUCGCGGCCUAUCAGCUUGUUGGUGGGGUAAUGGCCUACCAAGGCGGCGACGGGUAGCCGGCCUGAGAGGGUGGACGGCCACAUUGGGACUGAGAUACGGCCCAGACUCCUACGGGAGGCAGCAGUGGGGAAUAUUGCACAAUGGGCGCAAGCCUGAUGCAGCGACGCCGCGUGGGAGAUGACGGCCUUCGGGUUGUAAACUCCUUUCGCUAGGGACGAAGCUUUUUGUGACGGUACCUAGAUAAGAAGCACCGGCUAACUACGUGCCAGCAGCCGCGGUAAUACGUAGGGUGCGAGCGUUGUCCGGAAUUACUGGGCGUAAAGGGCUCGUAGGUGGUUUGUCGCGUCGUCUGUGAAAUUCCGGGGCUUAACUCCGGGCGUGCAGGCGAUACGGGCAUAACUUGAGUACUGUAGGGGUAACUGGAAUUCCUGGUGUAGCGGUGAAAUGCGCAGAUAUCAGGAGGAACACCGAUGGCGAAGGCAGGUUACUGGGCAGUUACUGACGCUGAGGAGCGAAAGCAUGGGUAGCGAACAGGAUUAGAUACCCUGGU
rnacentral:rRNA from 1 species